ensembl:lncRNA
UUUUUUUUUUUGCCUGAGCAGGGAAGUUCUACUUUCAAUCUACUUUGAAUCCUUCUUGCUUCCACAAGCUGGCUUGGUCCCUGGCUCUGUCCCAAGGGGCAUUCCUAGCCUGGGUAUUGAGCUGUCCUUCAAGGACAAUGCCCACUCUCCUCUCUGACCCCGGCACCACCACCAAGCCACCCCUUUACUGUGUAUUCCAAGCUCAGCUCUGACCCUGCCACUCCCCUGCUCAAAGGCCUACCAUGGCUCCCCAGUGCCCCACAGAAGAAGAACCAAUUUUUUUUACACCUCAAUGUUCAAGGACACCUCCCGCCCUAGGAAUGACUUGAACCUUCUUCUUGCCCUCACCUACUAUCAGGCAUUUCCAGCCCCUUCCUGCAGACCUUGGCUCAGGCUGUCCCCACUGCUGGGGAACCUUUUUAGCCUUCUUAAGGCCCAGCUGCCCUCCCAACCAGUCAGACAUAGUAACCUCACUCUCUGUCCUCCAAGCCCUACAGCUGACUCCUGCUCACCAGUCAAGGCCAUGCAUGCGUGUCCCUCCCCUCCAGGAAGCCUUCUCUGACUGCCCUGACUGGGCUUCAAUUUCCCUGGGUUCCCCCAGCCACAACCACCCUGCCCUCGUCUUCACUCAACCGCCAACCUGGAAGCAACUACGUUCAGCUCUGGCUCCCUGCGUCCCAAACUGGAAGUCAUUCACUUACUCAUUGGAUUAGUAAUUACUGGGCACCAGCUGUAUACCAGACACGUGCUCCGGGCAUGGGGACACAGCCAUGAUCCAGACAGCUACAAAAGCCCUACCGGUAUGGGGCUCCCAGCCCCGUGGGGGAGACGGGGGUACACUACACACGUUAACCAACAUCGGAACUCAAUAGCUUCUGACAAUAAUAAGCACGACCAUAAAAACACGAGGAAUGAUUAGAGCAGGGGACAUCUGAGCUGAGGCCUGAAGGUCGAAGGGGAGACCUCGUGACAAGGUGAGGAAGGUGCUCCAAGGGGAAGGAACUGCAGAGGAAAAAGCGUGGAGACUGGGACCACUAGAGGAAGAGACAGAAGGUCAAGGUGGACGGGGAGGCUGGCACGUCGCAGAAAGGACUCCUGGGACUCUCCCCUUCACUCAGACAUGACACUCAGCCUCAUUUCUUGUUUGUUCCCAAGGACAGGGUCUUGGUCUGUUGCCCAGGCUGAGUACAGUGGUACCAUCAUAACCCACUGCAGUCUCAACCUCCCUGGCUCAAGCAAUCCUCCUGUCUCAGCCUCCCCAGUAAGCUGGGAUCAUAGGUGUGCGUCACCAUCCCCAGUCCAUUUUUGUACUUUUUGUAGAGAUGGGGUUUCGCUAUGUUGGCCAGGCUGGUCUCAAACUCUUGGCCUCAAGUGAUCCUGCCACUCCGGCCUCCCAAACUGCUGGGAUUACAGGCGUGAGCCACUGUGCCCAGCCAGUCUCUUUUUCUUGUCCAUAAAAUAAAGACACCAGCUCAGGGCCUGGCACACAAGCAUUCACUUUAGGUUAAAUGACCUUGCUGUGUGACCUUUGGCCAGCUACACACCCUCUCUGGGCGUCUCUGUUCCAAGAU